rnacentral:tRNA from 1 species
UUUGAAUUAUACUGGGUAGAAUAAAGCUUCUAACUUUAAUUCUGAGAGGUUCAAUUCCUUUUAUAAUUCUAU